UAGGGUUUAGGGUUUGGGGUUUGUGGUUUAGAGUUUAUGGUUUAGGGAUUAGGGUUUUCCUUCCAAAAAAGAUCCCGUAAAAUAUUUUACCUUGAAAAUUUUCAGACAAAAAGUUUCUCGCCCAGAAGUUAUUGUCAAAAAUUUCCCGUCAAAAUAUUUUCCGCCAAAAUAAUUCCAACCAAAAUUUUCCCCCCAAAUUGUUUUUGAUAGAAAUAGUACAAGAAAUAUUGACAAAAAAUUGAUUUAUAAUUAAAAAAAAAAGAGAAAUCAACAAAUAGCUCUAGAACGACAAAGCUUUUUAGGGUUUGGGGUUUAGGGUUUAGUGUUUGGGUUUUAGGGUUUAGGGUGUAGGGUUUCCUUUCCAAGAAUUCCCGGAAAAAAAUUUCCCGCCAAAAUUUUCUGACAACCGCCAAAAAGUUUUGACAAAAUUUCCCGCAAAAUAUUUCCCGCAAAAAUUUUCCGCCAAAUUUUUUUUAACAGAAAUAGUACAGGAAAUUUGGACACAAAAAUCGACAUAUAAUUUGAAAAAUUAAAGAUAUCAACCAUCAUCUCUAGAACGACAAAUCUCCUUAGGGUUUAGGGUUUGGGAUUUAGGGUUUAGGGUUUAGGGUUUAGGGUUUGGGGUUUGUGGUUUAGAGUUUAUGGUUUAGGGAUUAGGGUUUUCCUUCCAAAAAAGACCCCGUAAAAUAUUUUACCUUGAAAAUUUUCAGACAAAAAGUUUCUCGCCCAGAAGUUAUUGUCAAAAAUUUCCCGUCAAAAUAUUUUCCGCCAAAAAAAUUCCAACCAAAAUUUUCCCCCCAAAUUGUUUUUGAUAGAAAUAGUACAAGAAAUAUUGACAAAAAAUUGAUUUAUAAUUAAAAAAAAAAGAGAAAUCAACAAAUAGCUCUAGAACGACA
rnacentral:lncRNA from 1 species